rnacentral:rRNA from 1 species
GAUGAACGCUGGCGGCGUGCUUAACACAUGCAAGUCGAACGAAGCACUUUUAUUACGAUUUCUUCGGAAUGACGAUUUAGUGACUGAGUGGCGGACGGGUGAGUAACACGUGAGCAACCUGGCUCUAAGAGGGGGACAACAGUUGGAAACGACUGCUAAUACCGCAUAACGUAUCGGGAUGGCAUCUUCCUGAUACCAAAGAUUUUAUCGCUUAGAGAUGGGCUCGCGUCUGAUUAGAUAGUUGGCGGGGUAACGGCCCACCAAGUCGACGAUCAGUAGCCGGACUGAGAGGUUGAACGGCCACAUUGGGACUGAGACACGGCCCAGACUCCUACGGGAGGCAGCAGUGGGGGAUAUUGGACAAUGGGGGCAACCCUGAUCCAGCGACGCCGCGUGAGGGAAGAAGGUUUUCGGAUUGUAAACCUCUGUUGACGGAGAAAAAAUGAUGGUAUCCGUUUAGAAAGCCACGGCUAACUACGUG